UUAUCAAAAAAUGACAACCAUCAGCUGUUUUUAAGCAUCUUUUAAAAUAGGCUGAUACCAUGUAUAAAAAAAAUCAAAAUAAUAAUAAUUAAAUCCAUAUUAGAAACAUCGUUUGAUAUGAUCAUAGUGGAAUAAAAUAAAAUUUCUUUUAAAGCCAAUAAAAAAAUUAUUUUAAAAAGUUCGUGAACAAGUGAAUGAUUGGACUUAUCGUAUGAAUGAAUUAAGCUUUUCAGGAAUACGAUGACAGAAAAUAAAUUAAACUUAAAGGAUCCAACUGGUUACAUUUACAUUUGAAUUUAAAAAACUAAUCAAGAUAUUGAAACUAACGUUGGAAUGACCUUACCGGAUUUUGUCCCUUUGAAUUAAAAAAAUAAGGUUAAAAUGGCGAGUUCUCCUGGGCUUCAGCUUCACGUCAAGUCCAAUACUUCGUACUUGGAAUUUUUUCUCUCUAUCCCUAAACACUAAAAAUCACAGAAACUAACCGAAACAAAUAAACAAAAAAAAAAGU